GUGAACGCUGGCGGCAGGCCUAACCCAUGCAGGUCGAACGGCAGCACAAGAGAGCUUGCUCUCUGGGUGGCGAGUGGCGGACGGGUGAGGAAUGCAUCGGAAUCUGCCCAUUUGUGGGGGAUAACCUCGGGAAACCGGGACUAAUACCGCAUACGACCUACGGGUGAAAGCAGGGGAUCUUCGGACCUUGCGCAGAUGGAUGAGCCGAUGCCGGAUUAGCUAGUUGGAGGGGUAAAGGCCCACCAAGGCGACGAUCCGUAGCUGGUCUGAGAGGAUGAUCAGCCACACUGGGACUGAGACACGGCCCAGACUCCUACGGGAGGCAGCAGUGGGGAAUAUUGGACAAUGGGCGCAAGCCUGAUCCAGCCAUGCCGCGUGUGCGAAGAAGGCCUUCGGGUUGUAAAGCACUUUUGUUGGGAAAGAAAAGCAGCCGGUUAAUACCCGGUUGUCAUGACGGUACCCAAAGAAUAAGCACCGGCUAACUUCGUA
rnacentral:rRNA from 1 species